AGCAGCCGCGGUAAUUCCAGCUCCAAUAGCGUAUAUUAAAGUUGUUGCAGUUAAAAAGCUCGUAGUUGAAUUUCGGGAUUGACGUGAUGGUCGUGCCUUAAGGGGUAUGAACUGUUGCUGUUGAUUUCUCACCUUCUGGAGAAACUUGAUGUCCUUAAUUGGGUGUCUUGCGGAUCCAGGACCUUUACCUUGAAAAAAUUUAGAGUGUUUAAAGCAGGCAUUUUGCUCGAAUACAUUAGCAUGGAAUAAUAGAAUAGGACGGCAUGGUUCUAUUUUGUUGGUUUCUAGGAUCACCGUAAUGAUUAAUAGGGAUAGUUGGGGGCAUUAGUAUUCAAUUGUCAGAGGUGAAAUUCUUGGAUUUAUUGAAGACUAACUACUGCGAAAGCAUUUGCCAAGGAUGUUUUCAUUAAUCAAGAACGAAAGUUAGGGGAUCGAAGACGAUCAGAUACCGUCGUAGUCUUAACCAUAAACUAUGCCGACUAGGAAUCAGACGAUGUUAAUUUUUUCAAUGACUCGUUUG
rnacentral:rRNA from 1 species